rnacentral:rRNA from 1 species
AGUGAACGCUGGCGGCGUGCUUAACACAUGCAAGUCGAACGAGAACGGGCUAUAGCUUGCUAUAGUUGUCAGCUAAGUGGCGCACGGGUGAGUAAUGUAUAGGUAAUAUGCCUCUUACUAAGGGAUAACAAAUGGAAACGUUUGCUAAUACCUUAUACCCCUUAUUAACAGAAGUUAAUAAGGGAAAGAUUUAUUGGUAAGAGAUUAGCCUGUAUUGUAUCAGUUAGUUGGUGGGGUAAUGGCUUACCAAGACUAUGACACAUAACUGGUUUGAGAGGAUGAUCAGUCUCACUGGAACUGAGACACGGUCCAGACUCCUACGGGAGGCAGCAGUGGGGAAUAUUGCACAAUGGACGAAAGUCUGAUGCAGCAACGCCGCGUGGAGGAUGACACAUUUCGGUGCGUAAACUCCUUUUAUAUGAGAAGAUAAUGACGGUAUUAUAUGAAUAAGCACCGGCUAACUCCGUGCCAGCCGCCGCCGUAAUAC